rnacentral:miRNA from 1 species
UUGGGACUGAAUUUAAGACAGU